AUUGAACGCUGGCGGCAGGCCUAACACAUGCAGGUCGAGCGGAUGACGGGAGCUUGCUCCUUGAUUCAGCGGCGGACGGGUGAGUAAUGCCUAGGAAUCUGCCUGGUAGUGGGGGACAACGUUUCGAAAGGAACGCUAAUACCGCAUACGUCCUACGGGAGAAAGCAGGGGACCUUCGGGCCUUGCGCUAUCAGAUGAGCCUAGGUCGGAUUAGCUAGUUGGUGGGGUAAUGGCUCACCAAGGCGACGAUCCGUAACUGGUCUGAGAGGAUGAUCAGUCACACUGGAACUGAGACACGGUCCAGACUCCUACGGGGGGCAGCAGUGGGGAAUAUUGGACAAUGGGCGAAAGCCUGAUCCAGCCAUGCCGCGUGUGUGAAGAAGGUCUUCGGAUUGUAAAGCACUUUAAGUUGGGAGGAAGGGCAGUAAGUUAAUACCUUGCUGUUUUGACGUUACCGACAGAAUAAGCACCGGCUAACUCUGUGCCAGCCGCCGCCGUAAGAC
rnacentral:rRNA from 1 species